rnacentral:rRNA from 1 species
UACGUAGGGUGCAAGCGUUAAUCGGAAUUACUGGGCGUAAAGCGUGCGCAGGCGGUUUUGUAAGUCUGUCGUGAAAGCCCCGGGCUCAACCUGGGAAUUGCGAUGGAGACUGCAAGGCUUGAAUCUGGCAGAGGGGGGUAGAAUUCCACGUGUAGCAGUGAAAUGCGUAGAGAUGUGGAGGAACACCGAUGGCGAAGGCAGCCCCCCUGGGCCAAGAUUGACGCUCAUGCACGAAAGCGUGGGGAGCAAACAGG